CCUACGGGAGGCAGCAGUGAGGAAUAUUGGUCAAUGGUCGGGAGACUGAACCAGCCAAGCCGCGUGAGGGAUGAAGGUACAGAGUAUCGUAAACCUCUUUUGUCAGGGAACAAAGGCGGGGACGUGUCCCCGGAUGAGUGUACCUGAAGAAAUAGCAUCGGCUAACUCCGUGCCAGCAGCCGCGGUAAUACGGAGGAUGCGAGCGUUAUCCGGAUUUAUUGGGUUUAAAGGGGGCGCAGGCGGUCUGUUAAGUCGGGGGUCAAAGCCCGGGGCUCAACCCCGGCCCGCCGUUGAAACUGGCAGUCUAGAGUUGGAGAGAGGUAUGCGGAAUGCGCGGUGUAGCGGUGAAAUGCAUAGAUAUCGCGAAGAACUCCGAUUGCGAAGGCAGCAUGCCGGCUCCACACUGACGCUGAGGCACGAAAGCGUGGGUAUCGAACAGGAUUAGAUACCCUUGUAGUC
rnacentral:rRNA from 1 species